GAUGAACGCUGGCGGCGUGCCUAAUACAUGCAAGUCGAGCGAACAGACGAGGAGCUUGCUCUUCUGACGUUAGCGGCGGACGGGUGAGUAACACGUGGAUAACCUACCUAUAAGACUGGGACAACUUCGGGAAACCGGAGUUAAUACCGGAUAAUAUAUUGAACCGCAUGGUUCAAUAGUGAAAGACGGUUUUGCUGUCACUUAUAGCUGGAUCCGCGCCGCAUUAGCUAGUUGGUAAGGUAACGGCUUACCAAGGCAACGAUGCGUAGCCGACCUGAGAGAGUGAUCGGCCACACUGGAACUGAGACACGGUCCAGACUCCUACGGUAGGCAGCAGUAGGGAAUCUGCCGCAAUGGGCGAAAGCUUGGCGGAGCAACGCCGCGUGAUAGAUGAAGGUCUUCGGAUCGUAAAACUCUGUUAUUAGGGAAGAACAAAUGUGUAAGUAACUAUGCACGUCUUGACGGUACCUAAACAGAAAGCCACGGCUAACUACGUG
rnacentral:rRNA from 1 species